GAACGCGAAGAACCUUACCAGGUCUUGACAUCUGUAGAACCCCUAUGAAAGUAGGGGGUGCCUUCGGGAGCUACAAGACAGGUGGUGCAUGGUUGUCGUCAGCUCGUGUCGUGAGAUGUUGGGUUAAGUCCCGCAACGAGCGCAACCCUUGCUAUUAGUUGCUAACAGGUAGAGCUGAGCACUCUAAUGGGACUGCCGGUGACAAGCCGGAGGAAGGUGGGGAUGACGUCAAAUCAUCAUGCCCUUUAUGACCUGGGCUACACACGUGCUACAAUGGAUGGUACAGAGAGCAGCGAGGCAGCGAUGUGGAGCGAAUCUCAAAAAGCCAUUCUCAGUUCGGAUUGGAGUCUGCAACUCGACUCCAUGAAGUCGGAAUCGCUAGUAAUCGCGAAUCAGCAUGUCGCGGUGAAUGCGUUCCCGGGUCUUGUACACACCG
rnacentral:rRNA from 1 species